AGAGUUUGAUCCUGGCUCAGGAUGAACGCCGGCGGUGUGCCUAAUACAUGCAAGUCGUACGCGUUGGCCCAACUGAUUGAACGUGCUUGCACGGACUUGACGUUGGUUUACCAGCGAGUGGCGGACGGGUGAGUAACACGUAGGUAACCUGCCCCAAAGCGGGGGAUAACAUUUGGAAACAGAUGCUAAUACCGCAUAACAAUUUGAAUCGCAUGAUUCAAAUUUGAAAGAUGGCUUUGGCUAUCACUUUGGGAUGGACCUGCGGCGCAUUAGCUUGUUGGUAGGGUAACGGCCUACCAAGGCUGUGAUGCGUAGCCGAGUUGAGAGACUGAUCGGCCACAAUGGAACUGAGACACGGUCCAUACUCCUACGGGAGGCAGCAGUAGGGAAUCUUCCACAAUGGGCGCAAGCCUGAUGGAGCAACACCGCGUGAGUGAAGAAGGGUUUCGGCUCGUAAAGCUCUGUUGUUAGAGAAGAACGUGCGUGAGAGCAACUGUUCGCGCAGUGACGGUAUCUAACCAGAAAGUCACGGCUAACUACGUGCCAGCAGCCGCGGUAAUACGUAGGUGGCAAGCGUUAUCCGGAUUUAUUGGGCGUAAAGCGAGCGCAGGCGGUUUGAUAAGUCUGAUGUGAAAGCCUUUGGCUUAACCAAAGAAGUGCAUCGGAAACUGUCAGACUUGAGUGCAGAAGAGGACAGUGGAACUCCAUGUGUAGCGGUGGAAUGCGUAGAUAUAUGGAAGAACACCAGUGGCGAAGGCGGCUGUCUGGUCUGCAACUGACGCUGAGGCUCGAAAGCAUGGGUAGCGAACAGGAUUAGAUACCCUGGUAGUCCAUGCCGUAAACGAUGAGUGCUAGGUGUUGGAGGGUUUCCGCCCUUCAGUGCCGCAGCU
rnacentral:rRNA from 1 species